rnacentral:rRNA from 1 species
AUUGAACGCUAGCGGCAUGCUCUACACAUGCAAGUCGAACGGUAACAGGCCGCAAGGUGCUGACGAGUGGCGAACGGGUGAGUAAUGCAUCGGAACGUGCCCAGUCGUGGGGGAUAACUACUCGAAAGAGUAGCUAAUACCGCAUACGAUCUAUGGAUGAAAGCGGGGGACCGUAAGGCCUCGCGCGAUUGGAGCGGCCGAUGUCAGAUUAGGUAGUUGGUGGGGUAAAGGCUCACCAAGCCAACGAUCUGUAGCUGGUCUGAGAGGACGACCAGCCACACUGGGACUGAGACACGGCCCAGACUCCUACGGGAGGCAGCAGUGGGGAAUUUUGGACAAUGGGCGCAAGCCUGAUCCAGCAAUGCCGCGUGCAGGAAGAAGGCCUUCGGGUUGUAAACUGCUUUUGUACGGAACGAAACGGCUCUGGUUAAUACCCGGGGCUAAUGACGGUACCGUAAGAAUAAGCACCGGCUAACUACGUG